AGGAUAUGCUGAUAGCUGGGGCCUGAAAAAUGGCUACUCUUUAGAAUACACCUAGCAAGAACCUGGAGUUACUGUGAGGAAGAUACAACACAAAUGGCUUUUUUAUAAGCAAGUGCCCUACAUAU